rnacentral:rRNA from 1 species
AAGUCGAGCGAACGGACGAGAAGCUUGCUUCUCUGAUGUUAGCGGCGGACGGGUGAGUAACACGUGGAUAACCUACCUAUAAGACUGGGAUAACUUCGGGAAACCGGAGCUAAUACCGGAUAAUAUUUUGAACCGCAUGGUUCAAAAGUGAAAGACGGUCUUGCUGUCACUUAUAGAUGGAUCCGCGCUGCAUUAGCUAGUUGGUAAGGUAACGGCUUACCAAGGCAACGAUGCAUAGCCGACCUGAGAGGGUGAUCGGCCACACUGGAACUGAGACACGGUCCAGACUCCUACGGGAGGCAGCAGUAGGGAAUCUUCCGCAAUGGGCGAAAGCCUGACGGAGCAACGCCGCGUGAGUGAUGAAGGUCUUCGGAUCGUAAAACUCUGUUAUUAGGGAAGAACAUAUGUGUAAGUAACUGUGCACAUCUUGACGGUACCUAAUCAGAAAGCCACGGCUAACUACGUGCCAGCAGCCGCGGUAAUACGUAGGUGGCAAGCGUUAUCCGGAAUUAUUGGGCGUAAAGCGCGCGUAGGCGGUUUUUUAAGUCUGAUGUGAAAGCCCACGGCUCAACCGUGGAGGGUCAUUGGAAACUGGAAAACUUGAGUGCAGAAGAGGAAAGUGGAAUUCCAUGUGUAGCGGUGAAAUGCGCAGAGAUAUGGAGGAACACCAGUGGCGAAGGCGACUUUCUGGUCUGUAACUGACGCUGAUGUGCGA